AUGGAACUUGGCCUAUCAUUGAUGCAAGGCAGGAAAGAAAGCCAACCUAGAUAUCUAUCAACUGAUGAAUGAAUAAUAAAAAUACGGUACAUUUACACAGUGGAAUAUUAUUCAGAAGUUAAGAAAAAAAUGAAACUGCAGAUACCUGUGUAUACAGGUCAAGCCUCUGAAUGUCAUCAGAUAUCAUUGUCCUGCCUCCAGUGUCCUGCUAAGCUGCCUUCCAGAUGCCUGCUCCAACAAGACAGGGAAGAAGAUAAGGAGAGCGCAAUCAAAAACUGUACACAGAAAAACUGGGUUCUUAGAACACACACAAAGAAACAUGAAACUGGAAACAAAGGACUGGAUCAUCAACUACAGCUUGUCACCAAACUGCCUUCUGCUAAACUUCCAGGAAAA
rnacentral:lncRNA from 1 species